rnacentral:tRNA from 1 species
UCCCUGCUGGUCUAGUGGCUAGGAAGGAUUUGGCGCUUUUACCGCCAUGGCCCGGGUUCAAUUCCUGGUCAGGGAA